CUUGGUUUUCCUCCUUUAAUAAACAUGCAGACUUCUUCCUUGUGGCAACCUAGCAGAAAAGAACAUGUAAUAUCACAAGCUCUCACUGUUGCUUAGCAAGUGUUGCAACACCGCAGCUGGCUUAGACAUUUGUGGAGACCUUUUGCCUUUGCAGCUUGCACAUCCCAUCAGUCUUAAUGUCACGCCUCCGAGCUGCAGCAUUAACCCGGGCUUUCUGAUCUGAUAAGCGCUGUUUUUUGCAGGGAAACGGUAUCUGAGUGAGAUCUGGUGCUGGGUGAGUCCUCUGCUGAGCCCAGGAUGUGCGCGAACUGCUGGGUAGUUCUGCUCAGGUGGCUGCUUUUUUAAUUUGUCUUCUUAAUCCUCAGGUUUCAUUUACAGCUUAGCUGGACAUCUGAGCUGAGAGUAAUGUGGAAACAUUUAUUCUGAGGGACUUUCCCCUUAAAGGCAAGCCUGUGGCAUUAAAGGUCUUGCAGGCUGUGCAGAGGGCUGGCAGCAGUUUCUGAGCAACAGCCAAAAAUAUGUUCUUGCAGCAGCAUUUCCACACUGAUGGCACUACAACAGAGUCAGCUCCACCUCGGACGGAGUCGGUGAAACCAUGCUUUGGCAGAACUCUGAACUCCAACUGCAUAGAUGCAGGGACAGCCAUCCUUUUUGCUGCCUUAUUGUUCUUUGCCCAUGGCAGUGAUAUGAAUUAUGUCCAUAUGGAACAGCGAUAGCUCUGAACUAUGCAGCAAUGAGAAAGGUACAAAGAUUCGAGUACCAAACGGACAGUGCUGCCUGAAGGUCCUAUUUAUACAGACAGUUCUACUACACAGAGGCUGCUGGAACUCUAGUACUUCUAUAGCACAGUGGGAACAAGGGGUCCCAUCAUCUGUCACUGUGCUCAUUUUCCUUUCGUCCCGUGCCUGCCCUGCGCACAGCCAUUCCUCCCCUAUGCAGCUCAGACCAAAAUGAAAUCUUGACUGCUUCUUUCCUCCUACUGCAAUGGCUCGGUGCUCCUGCUGGACAGCUACAGAUUGCUAACUGUUCCUGGCACCGGAUGCCUCCGCAUGGACGUGAAGCCAAGAAGCCAAGAGAGAAACCGUAUUGCCAAGUCCAAGCACUCUGAAAUUGCAGUAACCUUUUCCCUACACAAAAAGUGGGUUAUUAUUUGUAUUUAUCCUUUGUUGCUUCGUGUUUUCAGCAAACAUAUUUCAAACUCUUCUCUAUGGUCAUGAUUUUAUUCUCGAUGGAAGUUGAAAUUCUUGCAUACCCAUACAAUUCCUGCACCUGAUGCUUUAAGAAAAAACACCGAUGACUGCAGGAGUUGGCAGCAGAGAGGGAAGAGGAAGAGGAGACGGAGGAGGAAAUAAUCUCAUUCUCUCACCUGCAGGAGCGGAAUCUGAUCCCCUGCUGAUGUCUGGUGAUAGUGCAUCGGAGAGGGAAAGGAAAUGGGAGAACCAGAGGAGAGAAGAGGUAGCCCAUAGGAAGACAUAAAGAGAAGGAAAUACUUUGGGUUAGUGGAGAAGGUCAUCAGGCUACACAGCCUUCAGACAUCUGCCCAAAUCAGUUUGAAACUCCCGACCACACGGUUACCUCACCGCUGAGUGUUUUUUGCGUUCCAAAAUGAGAGGUGGGGAAGGGUGUCCUUCCUGCUCCUGUUUAUCUGAGUCACAGGGAUAAAGCCUAAUUUUGUCUAUAUCCAACUGUCAGCAGUGCGGGAAACAACACAUGUGAAGGCAGAAAAGGAAACGUGGUGUAAGGCCAAUUGGAAGUGAGGGCUGUACCUGCCUUUUGUGCUCUGCUGCCUUUUCAUCUUACAGAACACAACGUGAGCUGUUACUCUAGUAAUCCAUGAAGUACAUUGUGCAUGCGGAGCCACGCAAGGAUACUAAUUGAAGGAUUAAAACCGAGUGUAGACAAAUGUUAAUGAAGUGAAGGAACUUACUGGACUUUUUACGUUCUGCCUGUGUGUACAAAGCAGCGUUAGCUCUGUGCAGUGCAAUGCUAAGACUAUCUACGCAUUUGAGCUGUGACAUCAGUUUUCUAUUUCUGCGUUAUUAUCACCAGUGAAAGUGGAAACACUGCAUAAAGUGUGGGUCCUCAUUCUGUCUGCAGUUCACUCUUGAACAGUGUGCCACUUCUUUUUGUUUUUUCAGUAGACUGGAGAGGAUGAAGUUUAUGUUUCUGUUUUCAAGUGUUGCUUCCUCCACGAGCAGGAAAUCCUCCCUCCCUCCAUAUGUUUUUAAAAUAGCUGACAGUGCCCCCAAUUAAUUGCGUAUCAAACUGAACUUCUUUUUCCUGGCCUACGUGACUGUCCUCCCCUCCUCAACAGCCAGCCUGUUUUCAUGCGCACGGUAGGAAUAUUAAAAACAUCCCCUACCUAGCAAAACAAGAACUCCUCUGGGAAGGUGCAUGUAGAUGAAAUGGCAGCAACUGAUGUGGCAGUCACAUCCCUCAUGUACUGAUGAGACAUCUUCAGCUAUUGCCAUCGCAAGAUAAGAACACAGAUAAAAUAAAUAGUUCUAUGCAGAACUACUGUUGACCUAUUUUUUUUACUGUUUCUUUCAUCAUCACUAAACUCCUUCAAACUUUAAACCAAGCCCUUUUCCUAGCUUAAAUCCCUUCCAAAAAUACAUUAAAAAAAAGCCUAUAUUCCCUAAGAAUAUAGCAGUCUGAAUGGCUCCUCUGGUUAUAUCCCCAUAACCCUUGUCCUUCCUUCUAAUCCUUCCUCCCUUUUUCUCUGUUAAUGAUUCACAUUUAUGGCACCCUUGUCCAGAUCUGUCCAAAUCUCUCUUAUCUCUCUUCCUAUAUCUCUACAGCUUUCUUUCUUUUUUUUUUUCUUUAGCGUGUGGGUUAUAUUUUGGGUUUUUUGGUGAUUCCUUUCC
ensembl:lncRNA